rnacentral:pre_miRNA from 1 species
CAAUUACCCUCCGUCCAACAAAAGAUGUCUCAAGUUUGUCAGAAUUUGGAUGUAUCUAGACAUGACUUAGUGUAUAGAUGCAUUUAAAUUUAGUAAAAGUUGAGACAUCUUUUCUUGGACAUAGAAAGUACAUG